UUGCCAGACUCCUACGGGAGGCAGCAGUGGGGAAUAUUGGACAAUGGGGGGAACCCUGAUGCAGCAACGCCGCGUGAGUGAAGAAGUAUUUCGGUAUGUAAAGCUCUAUCAGCAGGGAAGAGAAUGACGGUACCUGACUAAGAAGCCCCGGCUAACUACGUGCCAGCAGCCGCGGUAAUACGUAGGGGGCGAGCGUUAUCCGGAUUUACUGGGUGUAAAGGGCGCGUAGGUGGGCGCUUAAGUCAGGUGUGAAAACUCCGGGCUCAACCUGGAGACUGCACUUGAAACUGGGUGUCUUGAGGGCAGGAGAGGAAAGUGGAAUUCCUAGUGUAGCGGUGAAAUGCGUAGAUAUUAGGAGGAACACCAGUGGCGAAGGCGACUUUCUGGACUGUACCUGACGCUGAGGCGCGAAAGCGUGGGUAGCGAACGGGAUUAGAUACCCCGGUAUG
rnacentral:rRNA from 1 species